GAGCUGUGAUGAUUGCUGUGCCCCAUGUGAUAGUAGGGUCUAUCACUAACGUCUGUUUCUUGGGACGAAUUUGGUCACAUUUGAGCUC
rnacentral:snoRNA from 1 species